GCCCCCGUGGAUCGUGGUGGAUCGCUCCUAACUGAUGUAUCGCAAGUUACAUAUCCAUGCAAGGAGAUGUGCAGGUUCGAUUCCUACCGGGGGCA